rnacentral:rRNA from 1 species
UUGAACGCUGGCGGCAGGCCUAACACAUGCAAGUCGANCGGCAGCGGGAAAGUAGCUUGCUACUUUUGCCGGCGAGCGGCGGACGGGUGAGUAAUGGCCUGGGAAAUUGCCCAGUCGAGGGGGAUAACAGUUGGAAACGACUGCUAAUACCGCAUACGCCCUACGGGGGAAAGCAGGGGACCUUCGGGCCUUGCGCGAUUGGAUAUGCCCAGGUGGGAUUAGCUUGUUGGUAGGGUAAAGGCCUACCAAGGCGACGAUCUGUAGCGGGUCUGAGAGGAUGAUCCGCCACACUGGGACUGAGACACGGCCCAGACUCCUACGGGAGGCAGCAGUGGGGAAUUUUGGACAAUGGGCGAAAGCCUGAUCCAGCCAUGCCGCGUGAGUGAAGAAGGCCUUCGGGUUGUAAAGCUCUUUCGGCUGGGAAGAAAUCGCACAGGCUAAUACUCUGUGUGGAUGACGGUACCAGCACAAGAAGCACCGGCUAACUACGUG